rnacentral:pre_miRNA from 1 species
AAACCUCUGCCGACGAAAUUGCGUCGGCACAGUUCUUUGCCGGCGAAAUUUGCAGGAUUAGACCUCUCCCGACGAAACCUAUCUCUGCCGAAGAACUUUCGUGGGGAGAGAUCUAAUCGAACAAAUUUGGCCGGGAUAUACUUGUGCUGACGAAUAGUCGUCAGGAGAGGUUU